UACGAAGGGGGCUAGCGUUGCUCGGAAUUACUGGGCGUAAAGCGCACGUAGGCGGAUUGUUAAGUCGGGGGUGAAAUCCUGGAGCUCAACUCCAGAACUGCCUUCGAUACUGGCGAUCUGAGUCCGGGAGAGGUGAGUGGAACUGCGAGUGUAGAGGUGAAAUUCGUAGAUAUUCGCAAGAACACCAGUGGCGAAGGCGGCUCACUGGCCCGGU
rnacentral:rRNA from 1 species